GAUGAACGCUAGCGGCAGGCUUAACACAUGCAAGUCGAGGGGCAGCACGGGUAGCAAUACCUGGUGGCGACCGGCGCAAGGGUGCGUAACGCGUGAGCAACAUGCCCUAUACAGGGGGAUAAUCCAGGGAAACUUGGUCUAAUAUCCCAUAGUAUUUAGAGGAGGCAUCUUCUAUAAAUUAAAGCUUCGGUGGUAUAGGAUUGGCUCGCGUGACAUUAGCUAGAUGGUGAGGUAACGGCUCACCAUGGCAAUGAUGUCUAGGGGUUCUGAGAGGAAGGCCCCCCCACACUGGGACUGAGACACGGCCCAGACUCCUACGGGAGGCAGCAGUGAGGAAUAUUGGACAAUGGAUGGAAAUCUGAUCCAGCCAUGCCGCGUGCAGGAAGACAGCCCUAUGGGUUGUAAACUGCUUUUAUAUGGGAGCAAUAAGGUCUACGUGUAGACUGAUGAGAGUACCAUAUGAAUAAGCAUCGGCUAACUCCG
rnacentral:rRNA from 1 species